rnacentral:tRNA from 1 species
GCAGUGGUGGUUUAGUGGUAGAAUUCUUGCUUUCCAUGCAGGAGAUCCAGGUUCAAUUCCUGGCCAGUGUA